rnacentral:rRNA from 1 species
UACGAAGGUGGCAAGCGUUGUUCGGAUUUACUGGGCGUACAGGGAGCGUAGGCGGUUGGGUAAGCCCUCCGGGAAAUCUUCGGGCCUAACCCGGAAAGUGCGGAGGGGACUGCUCGGCUAGAGGAUGGGAGAGGAGCGCGGAAUUCCCGGUGUAGCGGUGAAAUGCGUAGAGAUCGGGAGGAAGGCCGGUGGCGAAGGCGGCGCUCUGGAACAUUUCUGACGCUGAGGCUCGAAAGCGUGGGGAGCAAACAGG